rnacentral:rRNA from 1 species
CAGCCGCCACGGUAAUACGAAGGGGGCUAGCGUUGUUCGGAAUUACUGGGCGUAAAGGGCGCGUAGGCGGCCAUUCAAGUUAGAUGUGAAAGCCCUGGGCUCAACCUAGGAAUUGCAUUUGAUACUGUUUGGCUUGAGUUCGGGAGAGGUGAGUGGAAUUCCCAGUGUAGAGGUGAAAUUCGUAGAUAUUGGGAAGAACACCAGUGGCGAAGGCGGCUCACUGGACCGACACUGACGCUGAGGCGCGAAAGCGUGUGGAGCAAACAGGAUUAGAUACCCCAGUAGUCCCUGUCUCUUAUAA